rfam:Triticum aestivum genome assembly, contig: Triticum_aestivum_CS42_TGACv1_scaffold_323394_4BL
CUACUACUCCCUCCGUUCCGAAUUACCUGUCUUGGAUUUGUCUAGAUCCGUAUCUAGACAAAUCCAAGACAAGUAAUUCGGAACGGAGGGAGUACGAG